rnacentral:lncRNA from 1 species
AUUAGAAGACAUAACAGAAGAAAACUGUAAUAGUAACCCUUGUUGUGACUGUCAUCUCCCAGUUUAUACAGAUCUUCCAGAUCUUGAAUGGAAGUGAAAUUCAUAAUGAAGUAGUAUAUGUGCUCUGCCAGUGGAUGAAUGGGGAUGUGGCUAUGUGUAUCAGCUCUUUGUAUAGCUUGUGUCCUCCCACUUUGUGGCCCUUGAAUGCACCACAGAUGGAUUUCUCUGUUCCUAGAGCAAGGAUCAGCAGGAGUCUCUUUUUUUGAGUUGUCAACUAGCCAGGAAGGAUGGCAAGGGCAAUAUGAGAGAAUUUAAAAUUUCCAAAUUUUAGACUGUUUUGGAAACUGUAAGCCUUUGAUGCUUGUCUUCAGUAUAAUUCCUAAUUGUUGAUCUUCCAGAAUCGAUAAUGGUUGGGAAGAUAGCCAUGCACAAAUAGAAAUGCAUGUAUUAGUAUUAAAUACUUUUAAUAGAACCAAAAUGGCAGGAACACAGCUGGUAUUGUUACUGAAUUCAAUGAGCUAAAGCAAAGUUGUACAUGGGAUAAUCCUAGUCACCCAGAAAUCUUACUUUUUUGUGUUACUGGACAAAUCAUACAAAUAUAUUAAAGCUGUGCCUAAAUUAUAAAUAUGCUUUCUCCAUUUGUCUUAGGGUUCUGUCACUCUGCAAAGUGGAAAUUCCAUGAGUUUCUUCAUUGAGGUUGCUUGAUCUAUAGAAUAUUAAGAAGAAAUGGCCUAUACCUCAGCAUGCUCUGGAGAUGAUUAAUCAAUAGGUAUUUGAGUGCCUCCUUAAUAUACAAUAUUACUUCUCAUUGCUAAUCCUUCAGUCACUAUUGAAAUGUUUUUUUGAAACCUCUUAACUCCUCCAUUUGGUGGUGGGGUUAGGUAUCACCAAGCUCUACUAUUGUUUGAUCUGUGUUUAGUACAGCAGAGGAAUUAUCUACCAACACAGAUAGCUUAGUUACCCUUUGAACUAUUUUUGAUUUAUGGAUGGUGGCCCAAAGAUCUUUUCCUGGUUGUUUGUAUUCAAGU